rnacentral:misc_RNA from 1 species
GAAAUGCGAUAAGUAGUGUGAAUUGCAGAAUUCAGUGAAUCAUCGAAUCUUUGAACGCACAUUGCGCCCCUUGGUAUUCCAUGGAGCAUGCCUGUUUGAGUAUCAUGAAAUCUUCAAAGUAAAUCUUUUGUUAACUCAAUUGGUUUCUACUUUGGUAUUGGAGGUCUUUGCAGCUUCACACCUGCUCCUCUUUGUUCAUUAGCUGGAUCUCAGUGUUAUGCUUGGUUCCACUCGGCGUGAUAAGUUAUCUAUCGCUGAGGACACUGUAAAAGGUGGCCAAGGUAAAUGCAGAUGAACCGCUUCUAAUAGUCCAUUGACUUGGACAAUACUUUUAUGAUCUGAUCUCAAAUCAGGUAGGACUACCCGCUGAACUUAAGC